UACGUAGGUGGCAAGCGUUGUCCGGAAUUACUGGGCGUAAAGGGCGCGUAGGCGGUGUGUCAAGUCAGGCGUGAAAGCCCCGGGCUCAACCUGGGAACAGCGCUUGAGACUGGCACGCUCGAGUUCGGGAGAGGAUGGUGGAAUUCCCAGUGUAGAGGUGAAAUUCAUAGAUAUUGGGAAGAACACCGAUGGCGAAGGCAGCCAUCUGGACCGACACUGACGCUGAGGCGCGAAAGCGUGGGGAGCAAACAGG
rnacentral:rRNA from 1 species